UACCAAGUUUUCCACAACAGGAAAGUGAGCCAGUGACCUCCAGGGUUGGUACUAUCAACCCAUCUUAAAUAGGACUCUUGGGCCAAGUAAAUGAAAUACAUGUUGGAAAGCGGUUUGUUCCUUGUAAUAGACCAUGUAUGUUUCCGCUGAUUUAACUAACAUUAUUACUUAGACGAAUUCCUUGAAUUUUUGCCUUGAGAAUAGGAAUAUUCCAAUUAUGUCAGUACUUUUGGUCCUUCACUGAUCCUACAGCAUACGCAUCAGAAGCCUGUAAAGUAUCAUGGUUGAGCAUAUGUUUUAUUUAUUUAUUUAUUUAUUUAUUGAUAGGCAGAGUGGACAGUGAGAGAGAGAGUGCUUCUCCUGGUCUCCCAUGGGGUGCAGGGCCCAAGCACUUGUGCCAUCCUCCACUGCACUCCCUGGCCAUAGCAGAGAGCUGGACUGGAAGAGGAGCAACCGGGACAGAAUCUGGCACCCCGACCGGGACUAGAACCUGGGGUGCCGGCACCACAGGCGGAAGAUUAGCCUAUUGAGCCGCGGCACCAGCCGAGCAUAUGGGUUUUGAUUUAAAUUGAUGUGAUUCUGCUUCACCCAGCAUUCACUUGCUUCAAAUUGUUUACUCAUACCAUAAAUACAGUGCCUAUUCCACACAAUUUUGUUAAGGAUUAAGUAAGGUACACUUCACUUAAAGCAAGCACCUGUAAGUACUCAGUAACUGACCAUCACAAUUCUAGUAUUUACCUAUUUUAAGACUCUCAGAGGAGGUGAUAGGGUGUAAAUAAGUUCCCCUAGCCCUGGUCUUGAUGCACAAAUAAGCAGUGUGGCCUUGUCUUACCACAUUUGGUAGAAACAUCAAAGAAGUGCUCCCAGGCUUUAGCCAGAGAAAAUCAUCCCAGAAUAUUUCCCUUGAUCACUUUCCUGUGGUCAGUGGCAGAAUGGAGUCAGUGCAGAAUGGAGUGCUGCUCACUGGAGGGAACCUCAGUUUUGACAAGCCUCUGGUAAAGGCAGGAGAAGCAAAAUGUGCAAAAGUCCUGGAGCCUGCAAAAUUCUUCUAUGCCCUCUUGGCUAAAACGGAGAACAGUAUGGGGGUUCUUGGAUCAGGACUCCAACCAUUGCUUGUGAGAUGUGUAGAUGCUACAGGAAUCUUUCAGUUUCAUUUGCUGUGUGGUCCGCUGAAGGAAGCCUGCUUGGCUCAGAGUCCACAAUGCUGCCACUGAUGGCCUCCAGGUGCCCGUUCCAGCUCCAGACUCACACCUUUGGCAGACACUUUAUUCCCACUCUGCUUGACUCAAAAUGGAGAGGGGAUCAUCUAGAUUUGCUUCUCUUGGGACAUCCAUGUUUUAUGUGAUAUUGGACUCUAUUUGAGAGCUUCAGAAAUUGACCUUAUUGCUGUAUUAGAAUCCUCAUUAAUUUGUUUUCGUUUUAAAAAAGAUGACUGACUCAUUUUACAGAUAAUUAAGACCAUGUUUUGACCAUUUGAUGUGAGCUUUGUGCAAAUAAUUAUGACUUUGUAUACUUUCUAUAGCAAGAAAUUUAUCUUUCAUAUUAAUUUUAUCAAAAAAUCAGCUUGGUGUUUGUUGUGUAGCCACAUUCUUAAGAGAAGCCAAACAUUAUGAUUUUUAUUUGUAGAUUUUUCUAAAAUUGGAAUAAUAUGAUAAAUAUUUUGAGUACUGGUAAAUUAUUCAAGAAUAUUUACCACCAGAACAUGUUACAUCUAACAGUUAGAAAUCCAAUUAAGUAAUUUUAAGACAAUUUUUUUUUUUUGAGAGAGACAGAAAAACAGAGACAGAACAACAUACAGAGUCCCCUCCCCCUUUGCUAGUUCACUCUCCAAAUGACAAAAUGGCUGGGGCUGAAUCAGGCCUAAGCUGAAAGCUGGAACACAAUCCAGGUCUCCCAAGUGGUGGCACAGACUGGAGUUCACAAACUGCCACUUGCUGCCUCCCAGGGUGAACAUCAGCGGGAAAGAGAAAUUAUGUGCAAAGCCAGGACUGCAGUCCAGCCAGGCGAAUGUGGAAUGUGGGCAUCCCAAGCAAGCACCUUAACAGCUAGGUCAAAUGCCAUUUAAGACACAUGUUUAAUUGACUCAUAUUUUUUAAAAUACUAUGCAGAAAAGGAAAUAUUCUGAUUUGAUAUUAAAAUGGAGCACAUAUGCUACAUUCUACUAUAUUUUAUUAGUUUUCUGUGACUGCAUAGCAUAUAAAGUAACUUGGUUUGUAUUCUCUUCUGAGAGUUCGAUUUCGGAAAAUCUGCUCCCAGUCAUUGUGCUUUUGGCAGGAUUCAUUUGCUUGUGGCUGUAUGACUGAGGGUCCUGCCUGUUUGCCGUCUGUUGACUGGAGGCCACCUUCGGUACUAAGAGGCCUCUCACAAGUCCUGGGAGCCCAUGGCAGUUCCCAGACCUUACCCACAGGUCCUUUCAGUGCAAUUUUAAAGCAUGACUGUUUGCUUCAUCAAGCCAGAAAAAAGAGCAUCCUCCUAGCAAGAUGGAGAUACAAGUAUAAUCUAUAGAUACACACACACACACACACACACAUACACGGAUAUAUCUACACACACAUCAUUGUAGGCUCAACCUUUGUGCCCUGUACCUUCACCAAAUGCUAUUGGAUAGAACAAAGACCAGCUCCCACCAGCACCCAAGGCAGGGGAGGGAGAAAACACAAAGGUUUGAAUACCUGGAGCUGAAAACUCGUCAGAGGUCAAUUUAGAGACCAUUCACCAUAUGUAUGAAAUAUUUCCAGUAAAAUGAAUAUUUCAAUAGUCACUAGUUACAACUUAAUUUGGAAGACUUUAAAGAUAUUGUUGGCAUUUUUGAAAUUUCAAUAAAUAUCAUAGGAAAGCACAGGUUAUGCCAUGUUUAUGUUGUGCAGAACACUGUGUUCUUAAGUUGGAAGCACUUUUCCAUCUUGUUGAUAAAUCUGCAUUUGUGUGACAUGGAAAGAAUAAAGUCUAACACUGGAUGGCAGUAGUAGCUCGUUCAAAAUUCAAUCAGUUAAAGUCCCAGUACAAAGCAAACCAUGAGAAGUAAACACCUCAUUUUUAUAUUUUUUCAUGAAUUCCAUUUUAGAUUCUUUCACAUUGCCAGUUCUAAAUACCCUUUAUUCUGGUGUGGUGCAAUUAGGUGUGUUUAUUAGAUUUUUAGCAUUUUUCAAUUGGGUUUCCAAAAGCAAAUGUCAGCUAAUUAAACUUGUAAAUAAAAUUCUUGAAAAUGAAUUUGGAUAUACCUGAUAUAUUGAGUCAGAUAAAUGAAACUGAGCAAAUGUUUUUAGAGCCCUCCAUAUAACUGAUGCAAUGCUAUGAGAUAGAAAAAUAGAUAAGUAAUAGAAUACAUGUUAUAUCCUUUCAAAGACUUGCCUUUUUACACUAGAAAGACAUCCACAUACAGAAUUUAAAGUCAAAUGGUCAUUGCCAUUUCCUGGUCACAAAGAUUAAGCACAAAAUAUUAACCCUUGCUUUUCAAGUGGGAGAUCAAGAGAUAGAAAAAUGUUCUGCUGUCUCUCCAUACUUUGAAAUUUUAGGGUUAGUUCUCAUAUUUGUGAAGUGGCAUGUGCAUCAAAUGCCAGUGUGGUAUUUAUCCAUUUAUAAAUCUUCAAAUCAUUUUAAGAACAUUGUGAAGAGAACAUUAACUUUGUUGUAACCACACCAUUUCUACAGAUUGAGAGAGAAGUGAGAUUUAAAGAGAAGUAACAGUUUUACACUCAUAAUAGUAUAUGAGCUACAACUAUAACUCUGAGAGUCCACGCAGAUGGUAGUUUCUGAAAGAAUUUAGCUGACCAAGUCACUAAGAAUUCACCCAUUUUUCUAAAGGAAACACAGCAAAGUGAAGAGGCAACCAACAGAAUGGAAGAAAAUAUUUGCAAACUAUGCAACUGAUAAAGGACUAAUAUCCAGAAUCUAUAAAGAGCUUAAGAAACUCAACAACAAAACAAAUAAUCCAGUUAAGAAAUACGCAAAGGACUUGAACAGGCAUUUUUCAAAAGAGGAAAUUCAAAUGACCAACAGACACAUGAAAAAAUGCUCAGGAGUACUAGCCAUCAGGGAAAUGCAAACACCUCACCCCAGUUAGAAUGGUUCUCAUACAGAAAUUCUCAAACGCUAAAUGCUAGCGAGGAUGUUGGGGAAAAGGUACCCUAAUCCACUGUUGGUGGGAAUGUAAACUGGUAAAACCACUAGGGAAGACAGUAUGGAGAUAACUCAGAAAUCUGAAUAUAGACCUACUAUAUGACCCAGCCAUCCCACUCUUGGGAAUUUAUCCAAAUAAAAUGAAAUCAGUAUAUGAGUUAUCUGUACGCCCAUGUUUAUUGCAGUUCAAUUCACAAUAGCUGAGAUACAGAAUCAACCCAGAUGUCCACCAACUGAUAACUGUAUAAAGAAAUUGUAGUAUAUAUAUAUAUAUAUAUAGAGAGAGAGAGAGAGAGAGAGAGAGAGUAUGGAGUAGUAUUCAGCCUUAAAAAAAAGAAUGAAAUCUUUUCUUUUGCAACAAAAUGUAUGCAACUGGAAACCAUUAUACUUAGUGAAAUAAGCCAGUCCCCAAAAGACAAAUACUGUAUGUUUUCCCUGAUCUGUGGUAACUAACAGAGUACCAAAAAAUGUAAUGUAUAGCAGUGAAAUUGAAAACAAAAGAAUUCAUCCAAUUGAGAUGAAGCAAAAGAAAUUGAGGAAAGGAAUUUUGUACUGCAUGUACUCUUUUGACUUUUAAAUCAAAAGGCAAGACAUUCUUUGUGCUUCCAUCCUGUUGGAUUUAAAUAGAUUGAUCCUUUAAUUUUCUAGAAGCAUGGUCUUUUUUCUCAAAAAUGUCAUAGAGGUAGAUCAAUUACACAUAUAUACAGAUGUGUCUUAGCUUUAUGUUUUUGCAAUUGUACUCUUGGCACAAAUUUACUUAGUACUUUAUUUCACUGCUGAACCUUUCAUAUACUCUUAUCAGACAAUGAACCUUGAUAUAAUUUGAGGUAUAACAUGAAUUGAGAAAUUUUAAUAUUAAGUACAGAGAAGCUUUUGAGAUAUAUUUUUUGAUGUGCUCUUUGAUCAAUUUCAGAAACUUCAGGAGGGAAAAAUCUACAUACCUGAGAGUGCUGGUUGGCAUGACACUCCUAAAAGUUGGCUGAUCUGAGGGCAAUAUUGCACUUCAUGGUUAAGCCUAAUGGCUUGAGAAGACACUAUCCUGGGUAGUAUGGACUCUGUUGGUGCCUUUCCUUAGUCCUGAGGGAGGAGGAAUGAUGAGCCUCACUGAGUACUGAUCCUAGGUUGUUCUUUUGCAUUGUUGGAGGGAUUAUCUGCUUGUUAAGGGCAUGCAUCCUGUUUGGCUCCUCCAUGUAUUUAGAUUUAGAGGUAGGCUAUGUUCUGGGGACUGUAGUUGAAUAGUAUUGCCUCUGACUAAUGGUACAACUUAUUUGGAAGCCCAUAGAUGCUUGACACUUAAGUUACAUAUUUUACCAUAACUUUAUUAGUAUUAAAGGGGGGUGUUUUGAGUCUCAUUCCUAUCUGUCAACUAGUUUGUACAUUAGAUAGUACAUAGGAGAAGUAUAUAUAGGGGUCCCUUAAAAACCAGAUACUGGCCAAAUAAAUUUCAGUGUUAUAUGAAGUUAUAUGUAUGGUUAUUUUACAAAAAUACACACACAUCUUUAUCUAUUUGGCCUUAAAUGCAUCUUGGUUCAGAAAAUAUGGUAAAUAAUAACACACAUAAAAUACUUUUUAUCUCAAAUUAACUAUCAAUUGUAAGGUUAAUCACAGAUUCAGGUAUAUAAUUUCUCAAUAAUACAUUUUGUAAAUUAACUCAUAGAAACUUUGAUCUUUAUGGGUAACUAUGGGCCUUGUAUACAAACAUCUCAUAUGAAGGUGUUUCAAAAAGUACAUGGGGAUCGCUCUUCAGCCUUUUGUCUAAGAUCAUGUGUAAAAGUACCUGGGGAAAUUAAAAGAUAAUGAGCAUUUUUCAUUUCCAUGCAUUUUUGAAGACCUCUUUUAUGGAUUUUUUCACUUCCUCUAUUGUGUUGAAAUUGUCUAUUUAUAAGAGUACUAAAUUACAGAUGCUGAAGGACAGGAAGGGACUUGGUUUAAUAUACCUGUUAAAAAUUCAGUUCUCGGUGAAAUAUUGGAAAGUGGACCUAAAGUCAACCCUAGAACAACACAAUUUAGCAUCCAUAAAGCUGAAAUGCAAUUCCUUCCAUUGCAUGCCUGUUGUCACUAACACAUUAGCUUAAAUGGUAUUAAUUGAACAAAUGGAUUGAAGGUAAAACUACUUACAUUUGCUUCGUGCAAAGCUCUACAGAUUACAUGUUUAUGUUGUUAAAACCUCAAAAAAACUUCAAAAUAGGAAGCUGAGGCUUAGAGGGGUUUCAUGCCCUGUGCAAGGUUGUAUAAUCAGCGUUUCAGACAUGAGAACCUGUGUUAAGCUAGCACUGUGAUAAGCAAAUACUCUCUGUGCCAAUCAAUUCCUGAUUAGUAAAGCCAGGCUUUCAAAGACAAUUUUUAAAUUAUUCGAAAUCUAGAAUUUUUUGGAUUUUAAUUCAGUGAUAAACAAAUAUAUCUUUAUUCAGCUAAGUAGAAUUUUGAAUUUAUCUUACUCCCAAAUUCUUCCACACGGUUAAAUAAAUAAAGCUAUUCCUUCUUGUUACCAUGAUGUCAACAAUUGCUUUCCGAAUGUGUUAAAGAACUCUGAGCCGUCCAGACUGUGUUACUAAAGAUGUAUUCUUAUGGGUUUAACAUAUGGGUGUGUGGAUUUAUUAAGCACAAUGGAAUCCUGCUUUAAACAUGAGCCUGGUGCUCAAAUUUAUUUAAGUGACCAUAUUAAUUAUCUAAAAGAAUGUGACUGUGAGCACUUGGCAAUGAAAGCUGUAUUUUAUUUUCCAUUUUAUCUUGAAAACGGAUGAUGGAGAAGUGUUUUUGGCAAAGAUUGCCCAGUCCCUGUAUUUCUGACAAAGCUGCUUUCAGUUCAGAAGGAUCACCUUACCUCUUGGUCCUUUAAAUACUCUGACAGCUACCAGAGAUGUCUGGACAAUGUGUUAAUUGUAAUCACUUCAAAAUUGUUGUUUGUCUUAUUCCUAAUAAUCAAAUUACUUAAUUUCAGAGAAAAGAAACCUCAGCAUUGGACAGAGCUAAAAGAAGUAAAGAUGAAAGAGAAAUAAUGGAGGCUUCUCGUGCCAAACUCCCUUUGCUUUGGUUUUAAAAUAUGUGGUUUAAAUUUUACUGUAACUCUUGCUAGCUGACUAACCUUGGGCAAAAUUGUGAUCUGCAGUAACUCUUUAUUAAAUGGGUACAACAAUA